GAAAGCACUCAUGUUUGAGUCAGGAAACUUGGGUUCUGGACUUGGACUUUGGGCUUCUCUUUAUUUUUCUCUGAGCCAUUUAUUCUUGUCCAAAGUGAGGAGUUGGCCCAAAACACUUCUAUGUGCCGAUUUCCCUCUAAAAGCCUGUGAUUACUGAUUAUGACCACUGCAGGGACAGUUUUUCAAAACUGUGUCCAACGAUUACAUUUAUAUUGAUUCUGUGUCCGUUGGAGUCUCGUCCUGAGACACAGGUGAAGCAGGACGCAGGGCAGUGAUAAUGACCAGCAGACACACAGGGUCACUCGGGUUACCCAGAGCUCAGUGCAGAGGUCAGCUCCGUCCUCUCAUGUUGCCACUCAGGACCAUUUGUCAGUGACUGAUUGCUGUUUUCACAUCCCAGGAUUAUCACCUGCUCUCUUUUCUACCUAAAAUGUCUACACCAUCGCUCUUCUCCAACUUUUCCUUUCUGGUCCUAUCAGAGAAGGGAGCAGAAUUCCAUGGCAGAGACCAUGGGCUUAGAAAUUGAGCUUCACAAGUUUAAGUCCUGCUUAUAUCCCUUACUUGCUGUGAGCACCUCAUUUCCCUCUGUGAGCUUCCAGUUUCCACAUCUGUAGAAUGGCCACAGUGUCGGUACCUGCUUCAGAUAAUUGUGGUGGGUUGGGAAGAUGAUAAUUCACAGUGCCCAGAAGAUAGUAAAUAUAGUAAGUGAAUUAUUUUCUCCUCCUCCCUGUGUUCUCCCUGCUACCCCUUGUUAUCUUUCAUCUCUCAAAGUGGAGCUAAGGGAUCAUACACUUCAGAAAAAUAUCUCCUGCCCUUGUCCCUUCCCAGAGAAUCAUGUCUGUAAUUUUAUCUUGCCUUAGUGUAUUCUUCCCUAUGCUGUCGUCUCACCCCAUCUCUGCAAGAGACAUCUAGAGGCCAAUCAUUAUAGACACUUCAUUAAUGUGUCCCAAGCAAACGGCAUACAGCAGGUAUUCAAUAAAUUUCUGCUAGCCUUUACUGCCAAAGGGCAUGUUGAAAGGAAGAAUGCUGGAAGAGGUAAGGAAGACAGAGGAACAGAAGAAGGAAAAAUCCCAUAUGUCAUGCCAGCUCCUCAAAAAAGAUAUUAUUUUAGAAUGUAAAGGAAAAAUAGAGUUAAAGAAGAAACCAUUAAGUGGCCCAAAUUGCAUUACUAGUUCUCUACUCUGGGAUACACAGCCAUCGUUCAGUCUUUAGUAUAAGCAAUUCUUGAUUGACUAGAAGUGUUUAGCAAAAGAAGCAAAAUUUACCAUGUGUAUUUACAGUCUGAAUGGCUCGGCUCCUCUAGCUUUGCUUACAUCAAAGAAAGGGGGAAAAUGCACCCAGACAGUCUAAUUUCUUUAAGUCAGAUGAGUCACAGAAGCAAACAUUGGAAGAUGUGCUACAAAAUAAUCAAUCAUCAGAUAAAACUGUUUUGGAUGUAGCAGAUGUAUAAAAUAAAGUGGGACUAUUUUUUAAGCUAAAAGUUUGCAUAUUUACAGAAGAUUCUGGUAGAAUAGAGAAAUUUAGCCAGACCAUCACUUAAAAGGAGGUGUGGUUUCAAAGCAGAAAGGCAGCUGAAAAUAGCAGUCAGUUCUCUUCAUCCCUUAACUCCUACCCCUAUUCCUCAUCCUCAUGCCCAGCACCCAGUAAUGAUUUUUCAUGAUAAACACCUUUAAUUUUUAUUUUAUUAACAAUGUGGUUUCUAGAACACCUGAAUAUUGUAUUUGGCCAAUAUCUGCUUUAAAUAUCAUGUCAUAAAUAGAAAACAUCAGUAGCAGUAGGAUUAGCAGCAUGCUGAUCAGUUACUAGAAGGGAGGUGCCUCCCCACAGGUGACGGUCCGUAUCAUUACACCAAUUUUGCAAGUGGAGAAAUUCCUAUGCUAGAUGAGAAGCUGUAUGGCCACGUUCACACAUCUUAGACAUUAUGAAGUUUAGGUGUCCAGACGGAGCUUUCUCAUUUCAGUGUGCUCUGGCAUUUCCCAAAUGUAAACUGACAAGCAUCCAAUCUGAUGAAAUGAUGACAUCCCAUAAAAUAGAUGUUUAAUGUCUUAUAAUGUAUCUAUUUCCUGAAGCCAAUUGUAUGAAAAUCUAUCAAACUGCCUGUCUCCAAAUGUCCACAUGCUGGAGCAUCACCAUCUUCGCAUACACUCUUCUCCCUGCUUAAAACAAGCUUCCUCCUUCAUGUUCUGUCUAUUUCCAGUUUAUUUUUCAAAAAUGCCAUGCUCUUAGGUGAAAUACCUAAUGUAGAUGACAGGUUGAUGGGUGCAGCAAACCACCAUGGCACAUGUAUACCUAUGUAACAAACCUUCACGUUCUACACAUGUACCCCAGAAAUUAAAGUAUAAUAACAAAAAUAAAAAUUUUAAAAAAUCUAAUUUUACUUCUUUUGUACAUUAUUCAUAUAGUAACUUGUACUAAGGGAUUUAUUAAUGUAACUUCAUAUGUAUGUAUUUAGUCAUACAUGGAAAUAUAAAUACAGAUAGGCAACAGCUAAAAAAGAAAAAAACUCCAUGCUCACGUGUCCUAUCCUCCAGACAUAUUUUCCUAGCACUCCUUGUUUCUCCCUCCCCUCAUCACCAGUAGGGAAUUAGUAUCCUUGCUUUGUGUCCUGUGCACUCUGUGCCCAAUUCUGAGAGCGUACUUGACCCAUCUUCAUUUUUUUUUCUCAAAGACUCUUAUUUCUUUAAGGGUGGAAGCCAUAUUUUAUACGUCAUUAAAUCCGCAGAACCUAUCUGUGAUAGUUAAUAUUGAGUAUCAAGUUGAUUGAAUUGAAAGAAACAAAAUAUUGAUCCUGGGUGUGUCUGUGAGGGUGUUGCCAAAGAAGAUGAGCAUUUCAGUCAGUGGACUGGGAAAGGCAGACCCACCCUCAAUCUGGGUGGGCACAAUCUAAUCAGCUGCCAGUUCAGUCAGAAUAAAAGCAGGCAGAAGAAUGCGGAAAGCCUAAACUGGCUAAGUCUUCUGGCCUCCAUCUUUUCCCCAUGCUGGAUGCUUCUUGCCCUUGAACAUCAGACUCCAAGUUCUUUAGCUUUUCGACUCUUAGACUUAACACCGGUGAUUUGCCCAGGGCUCUUGGCCUUUGUCCACAAACUAAAGGCUGCACUAUCGGCUUCAUCCCUACUUUUGAGGUUUUGGGACUCGGACUUGCUUCCUGGCUCCUCAGUUUGCAGACGGCCUUUUGUGGGACUUCGUCUUGUGGUCAUGUGAGUCAAUACUCCUUAAUAAACUCUCUUUCAUAUAUACAUCACCCUAUUAGUCCUGUCGCUCUAGAGAACCCUAAUACAUUAUCACAUCCCUUAGCAAAUAGACUGUUAGUGCAUGUAAGAAUAAAAUAAGAAUAAUUGCUAACAUUUAUUUAGUGCCUACAUGGGAUAGGCAUCAUUCUAAGCAGUUUACAUGUAGACUUAUUUAAUUCUCAUAAUACACAUGUUGAAUAGAAACUAUUGGCCUGGAAUGGUGGCUCUCGCCUGUAAUACCAGCAGUUUGGGAGGCCGAGACAGGUGGAUCACCUGAGGUCAAGAAUUCAAGACCAGCCUGGCCAUGAUGGUGAAACCCCCAUCUCUACAAAAAUACAAAAAUUAGCCAGGCAUGAAGGUGGGUGCCUGUAAUCCCAGCUACUUGAGAGGCUGAGGUGGAAGAAUCAUUCGAACCCGGGAAGGGGAGGUUGCAGUGAGCCGAGAUCGCCCCACUGCACUCCAGCCUGGGUGAUAGAGAGAAACUCCAUCUGAAAAAAAAAAAAAAAGAAACUAUUGACAAGGAUCUUUUUUUUGCAGAGGAAAGAGAGAUAAAGAAAUACCUACAUAAACACAUAUACAUAUACAACUUAUAUGUAUAAACACAAAUAUACAUCAUGGAUCUAGAUACUUUAUUGAUUCAUAUACUUAAUAACUUUCAACACUAAUAAAUUGGACACUUACGUAGCUGCAUUGAUAAACACACAAUGCAGAUCAUAGGUGGCUCUAUGCUCUCUGUGCCCUGUCAUGGUCUAUGCGAGAGUUUUUAGUCCUGGUGUCAUAUUGACAUUCAAGACAUUUAAGGUCCUGGAAUGUGAGCCACAUGAUGAGAUAAUUUGAGGAUGGACAGUUUGCAGAAGAGAAUACCCUUUGUUCAAAUAUCUAAACAGCUGUCAUGAACAAGAGCGAUUAGAUUCAUUUUGCUUGACCCAGGAGGUGCAAAACUGAGACUAAUGGAUGGGAGCUUCAGGGAGGGAGAAUGUUGCUCAGCCCAAGGAAGGAUUUCUGGCAAGAAAGGUCUAUGCCGCUAGAUCUUGUGCUCCUGGGAAUAGAAAGCUUUGGCUCCCUUCCAGCAUGGAAACUCAGACUAUAUGUCCAUUUACUAGGUAGUAUCAUAUUUCACAGGAUACUUCUGCUUUGAGUAAGAGAGGGUAUUACAGGACCACCAUGAUCUCUUUUAUGUAUACAUUUUAGUGGAAAUUGUAACAAGUCUAGUUAAAAUGACAUAUGCCUUGGAAAAAAAGUUUAUUUCUACUAAUGUUAAAACUACUAUGACUAUCACUGCCAAUGCUACUAUAAUUACUAUUAAUGGUCAUAUGAUAAAUAAUGUUUGCAGGGCAGCUACUGUAUACUAGGUACAUAUUCCCUCUGCUAGUUUGCAUUUUGCAUAUACCAUGUCAUUUAACCUGCACAGCAAUUCUGAGUGGUUGGUGUCAUCGAUCUCUUUUUGCAGUUUCAGGGAACUGAGGCUCUAGGAGGUGAAGCCAUCUACUCAUGGUUAGCCAGAUAGUAACACUCAGAUCUAUGUGUGUCUGGCCACAAAAUCAGUUCUCUUUCUGUUUUACAGAGCCAUAGGAAGAGAGGGUAGGAAGAGAGGAGAGGAGAGGAGAGGAGAUGAGAGGAGAGGACAUAUAAUAGAUAAUCCUAGGCUUAAGUCAGAUUUAUUUUGGGAAAAUAUGAGACUCAGUUACUGAAAUAUUCUAAUUUUUUAUAUAUCAAGCUAUACAUUACUGAUUAUAUAGUUUGCAAUUAUUGAUGACAGAUUCACUAGUUUGAUUCUUUCUUUGUUGAUCUCAUUCUUCCUGAGGUUGUUUCAUCCUUCAUAGGAAGAGCUACUACUUCACAAUUGCAUGAGAAGAGAUCAAUUUAUAUGUAUGGCUCAUACACAUCUCAAAAGGAGAAAUCAAGAGGGACUUAGGUAUG
rnacentral:lncRNA from 1 species